rnacentral:rRNA from 1 species
GACGGUGCUAAGGUAGCGAAAUUCCUAGCCUUUUAAUUGGAGGCCUGCAUGAAUGGCUUGACGAGCGCCCUGCUGUCUCUCUUCCCAUGAACUUUUAAAUUAACUUUCGCGUGCAAAGGCGCGAAUGGCUGAGUUAGACGAAAAGACCCUAUGCAUCUUUACUGAGAGAGAAGAAAGUUCUUUAGCUUGGUUUAGCUGGGGCAGCUGAGGAAAAGGCAAAAUUUCCUUAAUAUAAAUCAUACUGGUGGGUUUAGAUCCAGGCUCUUAGCGGGCUUGACAAGUAGAAAAGCUACGCUAGGGAUAACAGCGUUAUCCUUCUGUGGAGGUCUUAUCUGCAGGAGGGAUUGCGACCUCGAUGUUGAAUUAGGGAUAUACCAGAAAGGCGCAGAAGCUUUUAUUGUGGGUCUGUUCGACCCUUAAAACCCUACGUGAUCUGAGUUCAGACCGGA